rnacentral:lncRNA from 1 species
ACUUCUCGCGGUAUCUGACUCCUAGGCUCCGCCCUCUGCACGCCGCUCACGGUAUCUGACGCUCAGGCUCCGCCCCCUGCAUGUCUUUGUUGGCAAACAGUUUCGGGGGUCGUCCGAGCCUGCCGAGAGCAUCCAGGCUGGACUUGAACUCCUUCCUGGGCUGAAGUGAUCCUCCUGCCUCAGCGUCCUGAAUAGGAAGUGGAGCCAGAAUCCACAGAUGUCAUUAUCCAUCUGCACACUUUGUUUACUACCCAGAAGGCAAGAAUAUUGCAUUUUAAAAGUGCCCGGACUUUUGUUCUUUCUUAUCACAAAUGACUUGGGAAGCUCCGACCACUCAUGUUUACCCCGAGUGAAAGUCCCAUUCAAAGCCUUGCUUCCUGGAGAGCUUUGAGAUUCUGGUACAAAAGGCAUUUUAUAAGCACAAAGUGGAAAAGCAUCAUUCAUAUUCAUUUGCUGCUGCGGCAUUUCUCCCUGGAAUCUUCCUCUUGUCUGUCAACAUUGGGCAAAAGGACUGGCCUCAUCUACAUUACAGAUAUCCUUGUGAUGGUCUGGAGGUAGGAAAAGGACACCCAGCACAAGAGUGAGAAGGGAAACUCAAGCUCUCCUGUUGGAGAGUCUCAGGCUUCUUUAUCCGUAAAACUGAUUGGACAUUAUUGGUGUGGGUUUAUGAUCUGUUUUGGAAAAACCUGAGUAUGAAGUCAAUACCGUGCUUUGUGCG